rnacentral:lncRNA from 1 species
UGGGGGAUCCACACUCGAAGUAGGUGGGAGAGUGCUGGAACACUAACGCAUGCCAUGGCCUCCCAUCAGAGGCAAUACCUUAUGCUUGACAAAUUGAGAAUUGGCAUCUAGUGACUUGGUUUAUUGAGAACUAGAUUAUAUAAAAAAUAUGUGUCCGGGAAAAACAUUUAAAUACUAUUUUGCCUGCCAGAGAGAAAUCUACCCUUAGUGGCUCACGGUGAUGUAGCUUAGAGAAGCUUAACCUUGCUGACUCUAUAUACAACAAAAUUAAUAAGACUGGAGGGAAUGUUCAGGAGUUGAAGGGGCCAGGGAAGAUGCUACUGGUGGAAUCAUCCUAAAACAUCUGGCACCUUCAUCUAU